GGCUGAAAUUCGCCUUCAUGAAGUCGGAAUUGCUAGUAAUGGCAGGUCAGCAUACUGCCGUGAAUACGUUCCCGGGCCUUGUACACACCGCCCGUCACACCACGAGAGUUGGAGAUACCCGAAGCCUAUGAGCUAACUUUUAGAGGCAGUAGUCGAAGGUAGAAUCAAUGAUUGGGGUGAAGUCGUAACAAGGUAUC
rnacentral:rRNA from 1 species